rnacentral:lncRNA from 1 species
AAGAACAAAGGAAGAAAAGAAAGAACAAGAACUCUAGGGUGAAAAUUCAAGGGAAAAGUGUGAAAAUUCAAGUAAUUAAGCAAUCAAAGGUAAAAUUUCUUGAUUUUGACUUGUGAUCUACCUUUCCCAUGCAUUAUUUUGCAUUUUCCAUGGUUGAAUCACAAGAUAUCAUGAAGGAUUCAUGGCUUACCGAAUUUAGAGAGAGAAGAUUUGAUGAUUUAUUUGGUUAGAUUUUGAGAUAUUUUAGUGUUUAUAGUUGAUUUAUCAUGUUUGGAAGGAAAACAAGAAAAAUCACAUGUUCUUCAUGGAUUUUUCAUUGGUCGAAUUUUCCAUGUAGAGUGUGGAUGAUGAUUUUGAUUUUAUUUCAAGUGAAUUGGUUAGGAAAUGAUGAAUUACGGUGAGAAAAUCAAGUAGGAAAAAUCAUAGUAUUGAUGCACCCACCAUGGUCGAAUUUUCCAAGAGAAAAUGUGAGGAUGAUUUUGCCAUAUUUCAAGUUAUUUAAUUUGUGUUUGAUGAUUUGGAGUAUUGGGAGAAAAAUGAAAUUAUUUGGAAUUGAAUUGGACAUAUUGGCCAAUUAAUAGAGUGAUAGAUCGAAUUAGGCCAAUACCAUGUAAUUUAGGUACACAAUUGAAUUUGUAUAGAACCCCGUGUUUAGACAAUAAUCCAAACAAUUUGCAUCCCAUUUCAUACAUUAGUAUAAAGCCUGAAUUGGUUUUAUAACAAUUUAGCACAAUGUAGUAAAUGGCUUAUUGUGCAUUAUGUCUAGGUGAUGAGCAUUUUGGCAAAAGUAAAGAAAUAGUACCUAAGGAUCAAGAAUCGGAGUACUUGGAAUUCGACUCUCGAAAUUGUGAGUAACCUUAUAUCAUCUUAAUUAUCUAAAGUAUGUUUUAUUCAAUUUUGUGAAUUUUAUGGAAAAUGAAUUAAAUGAUUAAUUUUUCGGUUUUAUAAACAAAAUGUGAUUUAAUGAAAUGAUUUCAUAAAAUUGUUUUAAAACUGAAUGAUGAUUUGAAAAUAGAGUAAUUGAAGACUGUUUUUAUGUGUUGUAAAUUCAUGAUUCUAAUUGAUUGGCUUAUGGCAAUAUUGGCAUGAAUGGUUGAUUUGAUAAAUGUGUUGGAAAUGUAUAAAUUGUUGAUUUGCCUUGAAAGGCUGUAAAAUAAAAUAAAAUAAUUGCCAUGUCAUGCUAUUGCAAAUUUUAUUGUAUGGUGGGUUUAACUUGCUGCAGUGGGUGGGUUUUCUGUGGACCAGCCUAUUAGAAGGGCACGGAAUCCCGUUAUAUUUUACCUUGGUUGGAGAGGCGAGUAGGGUAACUCCCGAGGUAUAACUUUAGAGUUCACUUCACGCUAAACCACCACGUGAGGGUGAACUCAACCAACGCCAAGGAACGGCUAUGUUUUCAAAAUAGAAACAUGAUUUAUGCGUACAUAACUUUUUAACGGCCUUGGCGGACUCGGUUGGGAUAACCCUCGAUCAAGGUAUCCCUGAUAACUGGGUAUAAAAAUGAUUUUGGCACGAGCCAAAGUUUUAAGAAAUUCAUAAGCCAUGUUGAUUACUCGAUUUAUAUGAAUUGAUUUUAUUUGGUUAAAACAAGUUGAAAGGUGAUGAAUUACAGUAUGCUAAUCUAUUUUAUCUAUCUCUAUUUACUCAGCUUUAGAUAUUUUAGAUGGUAUUUGUUUACUCACUGGGAUUAUAUAAUCUCACCACCCUUCUUUCCACCCAUUUCAAGCUCAGAAUAGGUUUUAGAUAGCUGAUUUCAUCGAGGCUACCAUUAGAUUUGCAUCCUCCAAACUGUAGGUUCACACUCUUCCUUACUUUUAGUUAUUCGGGGGCCCACUGGUUAUUAUAAAUUAAAUUAAAUACUCUGGCUUACUAUAUUACAGUAUGCAUGAAUUUAUUUUGCUUUUACGCUGCCAUGAAAAAAUUUAUUUACGUAUAACUCUAAAAAUAUUAUUUUAUAAGAAAAUAGAAUAUUUUAUUGAAUAUUUCUUUUAUUUUUUAUUUAUAUGCAAAUAAUCAUAAUUUUAUUUUAAAUGAAGGUUUUAGAUGUUUAAACUUAUAUUUUAUUAUGAAUUAUGUGUUUUGUACUCACAUACUACAUUUUUCACAGGUUUCAAAAUUUUUAGGAAAAAAUGACUAAAAUACCCCUGUGAGACGAAAAUUAUUUUUUUAUUGUUUUAAGUUGGAAAUAGUUUAAAAUCUUUUAGAACGUGAUAUUUAGCAAUGGUUACUCAUAGGGGAAAUGAGAAAUUGAUAUUAAAGCCUUGCAGGGUUUUGUUUGACAUUUCGAGUAAUGAGUGUCAAUCGGGACAUCGCGGCACUUGUCAAGGGCUCGAGGGGAGUUCCGGGUCGUGACACCCCUUUUUUCACUUAGGUGCCCUGCUUCUUGCUGCAGCAAGAAUGCUUUCUCGCUGCAGCAAGAAACAUUCUGUUCUGGCAGCAGAAAACUCACUGCAGAGAAAAUAAAUCUCGCUAUAGCAAGAAACUCUCGGGUUUUGAUGCAGUGCCUUCACUUUGAUAAAGAUUUUGACCACCUUCCCGUCGGAACUGGGAAAAGUGGUAACAUCAAAGUUGUAACCCUGCCUCUUAUCUUUCUAAUGGUCUAAAAAUAAGGUCAAUUGAACUUCUGUAGCUAGAGAUAUUCCAGAAAAAGGAAACAUAUGCAAACUGGUACUGUUUCUCUCUGCAGCGAGAAUGAACUUCGCUGCAGUGAGAAACAUUUUGUCCCACAUGCUACCCUAUUCGAUAUUUGACAUAUUUUUCACCCAUUUAACUUCAUGGAUUGAUCAUGGGUUGUUGC